rnacentral:rRNA from 1 species
AGGAGGUUGGCUUAGAAGCAGCCAUCCUUUAAAGAAAGCGUAAUAGCUCACUGGUCAAGUCGUCCUGCGCGGAAGAUGUANCGGGGCUAAAACUGUAUACCGAAGCUGUGGAUCCAAUUUAUUGGGUGGUAGAGGAGCGUUCUGUAAGCCGUUGAAGGUGAACUGUGAGGUUUGCUGGAGGUAUCAGAAGUGAGAAUGCUGACAUGAGUAACGAAAUGCAGGUGAAAAACCUGCACGCCGAAUGUCUAAGGUUUCCUUGCGCAACGCUAAUCGGCGCAGGGUNAGUCGGCCCCUAAGGNGAGGCAGAAAUGCGUANUCGAUGGGAAACGGGUUAAUAUUCCCGUACUUUGUUGUNNUGCGAUGNGAGGACUGAGAAGGCUANNCUAGCCNGGCGANGGUUGUCCNGGUUUAAGCAUUUAGGCUGAAUUCUUUGGAAAAUCCGGGAGUUCAAGGCUGAGGUGUGAUGACGGGCGUGCNUGCACGCGAAGUAGUNGAUGCCAUGCUUACAGGAAAAGUCUCUAAGCAUAANNACANCAGAACCGUACCCCAAACCGACACAGGUAGACAAGUAGAGAAUACUAAGGCGAUUGAGAUAACUUGGGUGAAGGAACUAGGCAAAAUAGCACCGUAACUUCGGGAGAAGGUGUGCCUCUGAUGGUGAUCAGACUUGCUCUGUAAGCUAUUGGGGGCCGAAGUAACCAGGUGGCUGCGACUGUUUAUCAAAAACACAGCACUCUGCAAACUCGUAAGAGGACGUAUAGGGUGUGACGCCUGCCCGGUGCCGGAAGGUUAAUUGAUGCGGUUAGCGCUUGCGCGAAGCUGUUGAUCGAAGCCCCGGUAAACGGCGGCCGUAACAAUAACGGUCCUAUGGUAGCGAAAUUCCUUGUCGGGUAAGUUCCGACCUGCACGAAUGGCGUAACGAUGGCCACACUGUCUCCACCCAAGACUCAGUGAAAUUGAAAUCUCCGUGAAGAUGCGGAGUACCCGCGGCAAGACGAGAAGACCCCGUGCACCUUUACUACAGCUUUGCAUUGAAUUUUGGACAUGUUUGUGCAGGAUAGGUGGGAGACGUUGAAGUAGAAUCGCCAGAUUCUAUGGAGUCACCCUUGAGAUACCACUCUGACAUCUCUGAAGUUCUAACCAUGACCCGUUAUCCGGGUCUGAGACAGUGUAUGGUGGGUAGUUUGACUGGGGCGGUCUCCUCCUAAAGAGUAACGGAGGAGCACAAAGGUAUCCUCAGCGCGGUCGGAAAUCGCGCAUUGUGUGUAAAGGCAUAAGGAUGCUUGACUGNNAGACUGACAGGUCGAGCAGGUACGAAAGUAGGUCUUAGUGAUCCGGUGGUUCUGNAUGGAAGGGCCAUCGCUCAACGGAUAAAAGGUACGCCGGGGAUAACAGGCUGA